GCUCAACCUGUGUUCUCUCCCUCAAAAAAUUUAUGAGACGACUGUUCAAAGCUUUGCACUCUUGGAUUAUUUCUUCUUCAUCAAGAAGCUCUUCCAAAGUGAAAUUUUCCUUGUCUAGCACUGCUUCAACCGGAGAACAAGACGACAGAACUGGAAGCUUCCAAAACAUAUUUGAAUCAGAGAUUAACAGCCGAACAGAUCUAUAAACCCUAAAAUUGAAUCGACAGAUUCGAAACGUAGAGCUUUUUCAAGCUUUUUCUAUUUGGAGCGAAAUAGAUAUUGAACCAAACCCUAGCUUUUGA
rnacentral:misc_RNA from 1 species